GCGGCCCGGGAACGAACCGCAGCUGACAAGGC
rnacentral:scRNA from 1 species